ensembl:lncRNA
ACCGCCUCUAAGGAGUGGAUUCAGCCUUGCUCUCUUUGCAGGUCCCAGGGUCCCAUCCCAGCUCUGCCACGGGUAGCUGUGUAGCUGUGUGGCCUCGGGUGAAUUACUGCACCUCUGGGCUUCAGGGUCCUCAUCUGUAGAGUAGGGGGAGGGGAGCACGCCCUGAUGAGAGGAGCAACAAGGCUGAAGCAGGCAAAGAGGAAGCUGCAGGUCAAAAGGCAAAAGGUUCACAGAUGUGCACCCCACUUUCGCUGAAACCCGGCGUCUCAAGUACCAGCCGCGACCCGCGGACCUCGACCCCAGAGCAACGAAUAUUCUGGAGCUCCCAGGGUUAUGGGAUCCCCAAAACUCUGGGGAAGUCGUCCAAAGUCCGGCAGGGACGCGUUCUUGGUUGCCGGCCGGCCGAGUGACCUCGCCCUCAGGUGCAGAGCGACGCCCCUCGAGGGCCAGAGCAGCCAGGCUGGCCAUCGCCUUCGCAUCAGCCUAGAAGACUGGGGAAUGGCCCACAAAAGCCUUGGCUGCCCAGACACUUCCCGGGACCUAAGCGGAAGAAGUGGCCCCACCGCCCGUCCUGGCGCAAGACUGGGGCCACAACGCGGCCGGCCGGGAAGAGGUCGUGCCUCCCGCUCUCCCCGCGCGCGCCGCGCCCCCCCCCAUCCUAGCCACUUGGCCCGACCCUGCGCGGGGUAAUUGGGUCGGGAGGGAGGCGACGGGCGGGCGGCGACUCCAGAGAGACUGCGUGCCUGUCAGCCGCAAUUUGUGUCCAUACCCGGAUUCCCGGCUAAGGAACACUGCUCUGGCUAUUAUCUGGUCACCUCACAGACUGAGCAAACCUGUCCACACACGUCCUUCCCUGAAGGGGCCACAUUCCGCCUAAGAUGGAGCCGGCAGGACUUUGCCUGUGCAAAGCUGCAACGGAUCCUGCCCCGGCUGCGUACACUGCGCAGCGCGGAGUCGAAGAUUCGUUCUGGACAGAGAGGAGGCACUAAGAGAGGAGCCACCCAGCCGAGAGCGAGGUCGGGAGUAAAACCCUGCGGGGGCGGCGCCCAUUUGCGCGCUGGGAAGGGGAGAUGCGAGAGCGCCUGGGCCCCUCGGAAAAGUAGAAAAAAUGUCUCCGAGGCCAAACCGCUCGGGCUGGUCCCGAACUCGCACUACCCGGGGCCAUCAGGCUUCACAUGCCAGGUCCAAGUGUGCGACAAGGAGAGUCACCCAUGUCUAGUGCGUGGUCCGUCUUGUCCUUCGGAACGCGACCGCCAGAAAUCAGUCCGAGUGUCAGCGCCCGAGCCGGAUUCAAGGCAGGUGUGUGGCUGCUUCUCUUUCUGGGUGCACGCCUUAAGUCGCAGCUCCCGCUGCGCACAGAGGGCACCACCACACUGGGCGCGAAGCACACAAAUACGCACACACAUACACACCGCGGGGGCGGGGGAUGAAUAUUGGGGCUGCCCGAGAACGAAGAUUGAUUGUGGAGAGCGGGGAGGGGUUCAACUACAGGUGCGCACAGACACUCCGACCCCCACACUCGUCCCUCCCCACUACUGACCCUGGUGGACGUGCGCUGCCGAGAGCCGGAAAGAAACUCUAAGAAAGUGGCGGAGAGUGGAGAGAGGAUGCCGGUGUUUAGGAUGAGGGAGACUUGUGUCUCCGGUACCGGAUGCGGCGAAAAUUCGUUGGGUUGCGGGUCAAGAAUGCGAGGGCCGGCAUCAGCCCGCGCCGUGCCACCCUGCGCCCGGCGGAAGGGGCGCUCACCUCCCCAGUCCAAGGACCCGCUCUCCAGACCGUCGGAGGGCUCGGGACUGGGUCGGGGCCGCAGACAGACACUGGGCUGAGUCCAGAGCUUGCCCGGAACUCCAGGUUCCUCCUGAGUCUUCCUGUGAGGGGAGGCGCGGGCUAGGGGGUCCCCGCGUUUCCCGAGUGCAAGGCCGCGUCCCGCUCCCGCCCACGCCGGCCCCACAGGGCUCUGUCACGACUCCACUCACCGGCUCCCGCCACCUGGUUUCCGCUCCGGGACCUCGGCCGCCCGCGCCUCCCGACUCGCCCGCCCACCGGCCUCUCUUUCCAGCGCCCGAAGCCUCCCUCCGGAGAGCAGGGGCCCCGGGCGGCGCCGCGGCCGGGAGCGGGGUCGGAGGCCAAGCUGGGGCGCGGGCCAGAGCGGCCGGGCGGCCAGGCGCGGGAGAAGGAGGGCGCCCCCUCUCCUCUCGGGGCCGUGUCAAUGCUUUGCACUUGGGGCCAGCGUGCGGCUGGGGGUCCUUCCCCAGGGCCCUGGAACCCGGGCGCCCCCGCCUCAGGCCCUUUCGGUGGGUCGGGUCGGCCCGCCGCGCUUUCGCGUCCGGGCGCAGGCAGCCGCGGGCGCGGGCAGCGAGGUGGGGGCCGGGGCAGGGGGAGGGGUCUCGGGGCCCGCUGGCCCGUCAUUGGUUAAUAUUUUAUUCUGUUGACAUGUUUUCUUACUGCUGAGGCUUCCGACACCUUCUCCCCGGCCCCCCCUCCCGGCCGGAGCUUGGCCUGAGCUGUCAAAACCCCGCCCCCGGAGAC